GUUCUGGAGGCCAAGAAGUCCAAGAUCAAGGCACCAAGUGAUGCAGCAUCUGCACUUUGUUGAAGCAAACUGCCCUCUGGAUAGACUGUCGGGGCAAGGAAUUGAGCAUCCUCACCAGUGGGGAAAGGAAGCCUGCAACCCAAUAGCCAAGCAGGAAUUGGCCUUGCCAGCAUUCAUGUGAAUGAGCUUGGAGGUGAAUUAUUCAACAGGAGAUGAAAGCAGCACCUGCUGAGCCAUGUCUGGAUUCCUCACCCACAGAAACCGUGAGAUAAUAAAUCCUGUCUGGCUGUCCUAGGUGGAGGAUAGACAACACCUGUGAAAACCGAGAGGGUGGAAGAUAUCACAUGAAGGUAGAAUCCCAGAAAU